UUUACAAUGGAGAGUUUGAUCCUGGCUCAGGAUGAACGCUAGCGGCAGGCCUAAUACAUGCAAGUCGGACGGGAUUGGAAGCUUGCUUCCAUGAGAGUGGCGCACGGGUGCGUAACACGUAUGUAACCUACCUUUAUCUGGGGGAUAGCCUCUCGAAAGAGAGAUUAACACCGCAUAAAAUCACAGUACGGCAUUGUA
rnacentral:rRNA from 1 species